GCCGCUAGGGGGCGGCCGCGCGGGAGGGCGAGCAACGAGUGUGCUCCGAUUACUCGGACGAAGAAGGCUUCCGCAGACAAAUAACAUGGCGGCGCCCGAGAGCGGCGAGCAAGCGAGCCAAUUGGAAUUCUCGCUGCAAGUUCCCUUCCAGUCGGCGCGCCAGGCCGCUGUGGCUCUGCGCUCGCUGAGUCCCGACCGCGAGCCCCGGCGAUGAGGCGUCCGCAAGCGGCUGACGCUCGCCGGGAGUGUGCUCAGCGCGUGAGGAGCCUUCGCCCGGCCCCGCUGCCGUCGCCCGCACGCCCACCCGCCAGUGACCUCUUGUGACCUUUUCAGGAAGUGGCGUGCAGAGCAAGCUCGCGUCCUUCGCGUAUCCGUCAACUCCUUCCUGGAGCACCUCGGCCUGGUCUUGGAGACCAUGCGUGCCUUUCCCGCCGACGUCGGACAGGAUCCUCACAGCGUUCUUGGUCGUCCACCUUCGAUGGACACGCGAGGGCCCGCCUUCAUGGAAAACUUCAGCGAGCCGAUGCUGCGUUCUUGAUUUAAAGUUUUUAGCGUUAAGCAUGUUUAUCCUUUUUUUUCCUAAGUUGAUUUCAUCGCGCGCUUGAUUACUGGCGUCAGCUAUUGCCCAAAAUGUCGCCACGAGCUGCUGUAGACGCAAGGCAGCCAAGCCAGCGCUCCGUUGGUUUUGCUCUGACCAUUGUGCUCGUCUGCGUUGGGGCAGGGUAUUUUUGGUUCUUAUUUAAAUGUUUUUCCCCUGAUCUCACGUGUGCUUCAUGUGUAAAUGUACGUAUCAUUUUGCUUUGAAUAAAAACAGAAGUCGCCUGCC